rnacentral:rRNA from 1 species
GCGCGAAACCUCUGCAAUAGGCGAAAGCUUGACAGGGUUACUCUGAGUGGUGAUCGCUAAGAUCAUCUUUUGGCACCUCUAAAAAUGGUGUAGAAUAAGGGGUGGGCAAGUCUGGUGUCAGCCGCCGCGGUAAUACCAGCACCCCGAGUGGUCGGGACGAUUAUUGGGCCUAAAGCAUCCGUAGCCGGUUCUGCAAGUCUUCCGUUAAAUCCACCUGCUCAACAGAUGGGCUGCGGAGGAUACUACAGGGCUAGGAGGCGGGAGAGGCAAGCGGUACUCAGUGGGUAGGGGUAAAAUCCUCUGAUCCACUGAAGACCACCAGUGGCGAAGGCGGCUUGCCAGAACGCGCUCGACGGUGAGGGAUGAAAGCUGGGGGAGCAAACCGG